GACGAACGCUGGCGGCGUGCUUAACACAUGCAAGUCGAACGGUGAAGCUCCAGCUUGCUGGAGUGGAUCAGUGGCGAACGGGUGAGUAACACGUGAGCAACCUGCCCCUGACUCUGGAAUAAGCGCUGGAAACGGCGUCUAAUACUGGAUACGAGAAGGGUCCGCAUGGGCACUUUCUGGAAAGUUUUUCGGUUGGGGAUGGGCUCGCGGCCUAUCAGCUUGUUGGUGAGGUAAUGGCUCACCAAGGCGACGACGGGUAGCCGGCCUGAGAGGGCGACCGGCCACACUGGGACUGAGACACGGACCAGACUCCUACGGGAGGCAGCAGUGGGGAAUAUUGCACAAUGGGCGAAAGCCUGAUGCAGCGACGCCGCGUGAGGGAUGACGGCCUUCGGGUUGUAAACCUCUUUCAGCAGGGAAGAAGCGAAAGUGAGGGUACCUGCAGAAGAAGCACCGGCUAACUACGUG
rnacentral:rRNA from 1 species